rnacentral:rRNA from 1 species
GUCUGUGUGUAUAUUCAAUAUACAGUCUAGCCUGCCCACUGAAAGUUUUAAAGGGCCGCGGUAUUUGAACCGUGCUAAGGUAGCAUAAUAAAUAGUCUUUUAAUUGAGGUCUAGUAUGAAUGGUUGGACAUGAAGUAUACUGUUUCAGUCGCAAAAAUUGAAUUUUACUUUUAAGUGAAAAGGCUUAAAUUUGAUGGUGGGACGAUAAGACCCUAUAAAGCUUUAUAUCUUACAGGCAAAUUACGGAGUAUAAGGUUUUCUAAUAUUGGUAUGUGAGGUAUUUCGUUGGGGCGACGUAAAUAUAAUAAGUAACUGUUUUUAUAUAAAAAUAGACCUAUUUAGAUUAUUUGAUCCUUUUUAAAGAUUAUAAGAAUUAAGUUACUUUAGGGAUAACAGCGUAAUUUUCUUUGAGAGUUCAUAUCGACAAGAAUAGUUGCGACCUCGAUGUUGAAUUAAGAUAUUUCCAAGGUGUAGAAGUUUUGGUUGUAGGUCUGUUCGACCUUUAAAAUCUUACAUGAUUUGAGUUCAGACCGGCGUG